rnacentral:lncRNA from 1 species
AUGAUUUGUUUAUAUGAUUUAACUUAGUGUAUAAGCUUUUGAAUCUGAUUUUCUAAUGGACAUUGGUUUUGUAUAAAUAUAACUUUCAUUGGGUUACAUGUGUUACUUGAGUUUGUUUUCUUAGUAGAUUAUGAAGGAUAUCCGAUCUCCCGAGUUCAUGUUCGCUCCAAGCAUCGCUAUCAUGCUCUAUUUUAGUUUUGUUUGAUGUUAUCAUUUUCGUUUCAUCUUAGGUCAUCCACAAUAGUGCAAUACCCACCGCCAACCGCUAUAGUGAUGCGCGUCACCUCAUCACCACAACCUAUCACUAUGACCGUAGGAUGCCUAGCACCGAAACACAACUCCACAUAGGUUCGCCUGAUUAAUAGUUUAAUUACUGAAAGUUUUUUCAUUUUUAUUAAAAGAAAGUUACAAGAAAUCAAUAAAAAGGUUGAAGUUGAAAAUUCUAAAAUAAAAGAAUAAAAUAAAAAAAACAAUAAAAAUAAAAAUAAUUUGUAUGUGCAUGUCACGAGAGCAAUGCAAAUAAUUUUUGCCAAAAUUAAAUUUUUAAUCGGUUUAGUAUUUUAAAAUUGAAUAACAUGAUUACAGUGAAACUAAUGUAAAUGACGAAUACCAUAAUAGUGACAAUUAAAAAACUAGAACUUUAGAAAGAUGAGUAAUAUUCUGUUAUGGGUCGUUAUUUUUGUUGGUAUAUUGUUGUUUUUAAUCCCUCUCUUUUACCUUGUUCCUUUUACGUUGAGAGUUUUAAUAAUAUAUGGCCGUUUCAAAAAAAAAUUUAAAAUCAUCUUGGUUAAUAUUUAUUUUGUUGUUCUUUUUAUUGUUGUUGAAUGAUCGAAUUUGUAAUUUAGCCUAACUUUGGUAUUGCUAUCUUCAAGUUGCAUUAACCGAAGGACGUUUUUUGGUGAUUUUGCAUAAACUUUGUUUCUGUAGUGAAAAAAGCAAAUUAAAAAUAUAAUUGUAGAAGCUUCUUCGAUUAUCAGAGCCAGGUUUCGAUCCUGGGACCUAUGGGUUAUGGGCCCACCACGAUUCCGCUGCUCCACUCUGAUUUGAUGAUUGUAUUCUCAAAUUUUUUACAAAGAUCGCUAAAUUCUAAAAAAGGAAGUGUUUACAACAUCAAUAUAGAGUUGCAUCCUGGCCAAUGACUCUAUUAAUGUCUUCACUGAAUAAGAAAGAUUCAUUAACCACACAUGAACUAAAAUCCAAAUUGUGAAUUUAUUUCAAAUUUAAUGUGUACACACCAAUUUUACAAACAAAAAACAUCAAUAUGAGUCAUUUGACUUAUGUCUUUCAUCAAAUCUUUCAAAACGUUAAUGGAACGAUAUUGUGCUAGAUAAAGUAGCCAUUUGGGAUUAUGAAAUGCAACACAUUUGUGUAUAUAUUAGUUAAUUUUUAAGAAUCUUUUAGAUGCUUUUGGUCCAAUUUAAUUUGGGUGAUAUUCAAGUAUGGUAUAGAUUAGUUGAUUGAAUGAUUUAUUUAUGAUGUGUUUAUAUGACUUAACUUAGUGUAUAAGCUUUUGAAUCCGAUUUUCUAAUGGACAUUGGUUUUGUAUAAAUAUAACUUUCAUUGGGUUACAUGUGUUACUUGAGUUUGUUUACUUAGUAGAUUAUGUAGGAUAUCCGAUCACAUGUUCACUCCAAGCAUCGCUAUCAUGCUCUAUUUUUGUUUUGUUUGAUGUUAUCAUUUUCGUUUCAUUUUAGGUCAUCCACAAUAGUGCAAUACCCACCGCCAACCGCUAUAGUGAUGCACGUCACCUCAUCACCACAACCUAUUUCUAUGACAGUAGGAUGCCUAGCACUGAAACACAACUCCACAUAGGUUCGCCUAAUUAAUAUUUAAUUACUGAAAGUUUUUUCAUUUUUAUUAAAAGAAAGUUACAAGAAAUCAAUAAAAAGGUUGAAGUUGAAAAUUCUAAAAUAAAAGAAUAAAAUAAAAAAAACAAUAAAAAUAAAAAUAAUUUGUAUGUGCAUGUCACGAGAGCAAUGCAAAUAAUUUUUGCCAAAAUUAAUUUUUUAAUCGGUUUAGUAUUUUAAAAUUGAAUAACAUGAUUACAGUGAAACUAAUGUAAGUGACGAAUACCAUAAUAGUGACAAUUAAAAAACUAGAACUUUAGAAAGAUCAAUAAUAGUCUAUUGUGGGUCGUUAUUUUUGUUGGUAUAUUGUUGUUUCUUGUCCCUCCCUUUUACCUUGUUCCUUUUACGUUGAGAAUUUUAAUAAUAUAUGGCCGUUUCAAAAAAAAAUUCAAAACCAUAUUGGUUAAUAUUUAUUUUGUUGUUCUUUUUAUUGUUGUUGAAUGAUCAAAUUUGUAAUUUAGCCUAACUUUGGUAUUGCUAUCUUCAAGUUGCAUUAACCGAAGGAUGUUUUUUUUAUGAUUUUGCAUAAACAUUGUUUCUGGAGUGAAAAAAGCAAAUUAAAAAUAUAAUUGUAGAAGCUUCUUCGGUUAUCAGAGCCAGGUUUCGAUCCUGGGACCUGUGGGUUAUGGGCCCACCACGCUUCCGCUGCGCCACUCUGAUUUGAUGAUUGAAUUCUCCUAUUUUUUACAAAGAUCGCUAAUUUCUAAAAAAGGAAGUGUUUCCAACAUCAAUAUAGAGUGGCAUCCUGGCCGGUGACUCUAUUAAUGUCUUCACUGAAUUACAAAGAUUCAUUAACCACAUAAACUAAAAUCCAAAUUGUGAAUUUAUUUCAAAUUUAAUGUGUACACACAAAUUUUACAAACAAAAAACAUCUAUAUGAGUCAUUUGACUUACGUCUUUCAUUAAAUCUUUUAAAAAAUUAAUGGACCAAUAUUGUGCUAGAUAAAGUAGCCAUUUGGGAUUAUGAAACGCAACACAUUUGUGUAUAUAUUAGUUAAUUUUUAAGGAUCUUUUAGAUGCUUUUGGUCCACUUUAAUUUGGGUGAUAUUCAAGUGCGGUAUAGGUUAGUUAAUUGAAUGAUUUAAUUUAUGAUGUGUUUAUAUAAUUUAUCUUAGUGUAUAAGCUUUUAAAUCCAAUUUUCUAAUGGACGUUUGUUUUGUAUAAAUAUAACUUUCAUUGGGUUACAUGUUUUACUUGAGUUUGUUUUCAUAGUAGAUUAUGAAGGAUAUCCGAUAUCCCAAGUUCAUGUUCGCUCCAAGCAUCGCUAUCAUGCUCUAUUUUUAUUUUGUUUGAUGUUAUCAUUUUCGUUUCAUUUUAGGUCAUCCACAAUAGUGCAAUACCCACCGCCAACCGAUAUAGUGAUGCGCGUCAUCUCAUCACCACAACCUAUCACUAUGACCGUAGGAUGCCUAGCACCGAAACACAACUCCACAUAGGUUCGCCCGAUUAAUAGUUUAAUUACUGAAAGUUAUUUCAUUUUUAUUAAAAGAAAGUUACAAGAAAUCAAUAAAAAGAUUGAAGUUGAAAAUUCGAAAAUAAAAGAAUAAAAUAAAAAACACAAUAAAAAUAAAAAUAAUUUGCAUGUGCAUGUCACGAGAGCAAUGCAAAUAAUUUUUGCCAAAAUUAAAUUUUUAAUCGGUUUAGUAGAUUAAAAUUGAAUAACAUGAUUACAGUGAAACAAAAUUAAAUUUUCAAAUUUAAUGUGUACACACCAAUUUUACAAACAAAAAACAUCUAUAUGAGUCAUUUGACUUACGUCUUUCAUUAAAUCUUUUAAAAAAUUAAUGGACCAAUAUUGUGCUAGAUAAAGUAGCCAUUUGGGAUUAUGAAACACAAUAUAUUUGUGUAUAUAUUAGCUUAUUUUUAAGGAUCUUUUAGAUGCCUUUGGUCCACUUUAAUUUGGGUGAUAUUCAAGUGCGGUAUAUAUUAGUUAAUUGAAUAAUUUAAUUUAUGAUGUGUUUAUAUAAUUUAUUUUAGUCUAUAAGCUUUUGAAUGCAAUUUUCUAAUGGACGUUUGUUUUGUAUAAAUAUAACUUUCAUUGGGUUACAUGUGUUACUUGAGUUUGUUUUCUUAGUAGAUUAUGAAGGAUAUCCGAUCUCCGAAGUUCAUGUUUUCUCCAAGCAUCGCUAUCAUGCUCUAUUUUUGUUUUGUUUGAUGUUAUCAUUUUCGUUUCAUUUUAGGUCAUCCACAAUAGUGCAAUACCCACCGCCAACCGAUAUAGUGAUGCGCGUCAUCUCAUCACCACAACCUAUCACUAUGACUGUAGGAUGCCUAGCACCGAAACACAACUCCACAUCAAUAUAGUGUGGCAUCCUGGCCGAUGAAUCUAUUAAUGUCUUCACUGAAUUACAAAGAUUCAUUAACCACACAAACUAAAAUCCAAAUUUUGAAUUUAUUUCAAAUUUAAUGUGUACACACCAAUUUUACAAACAAAAAACAUCUAUAUGAGUCAUUUGACUUACGUCUUUCAUUAAAUCUUUUAAAAAAUUAAUGGACCAAUAUUGUGCUAGAUAAAGUAGCCAUUUGGGAUUAUGAAACGCAACACAUUUGUGUAUAUAUUAGUUAAUUUUUAAGGAUCUUUUAGAUGCUUUUGGUCCACUUUAAUUUGGGUGAUAUUCAAGUGCGGUAUAGAUUAGUUAAUUGAAUGAUUUAAAUUAUGAUGUAUUUAUAUAAUUUAUCUUAGUGUAUAAGCUUUUGAAUCAAAUUUUCUAAUGGACGUUUGUUUUGUAUAAAUAUAACUUUCAUUGGGUUACAUGUGUUACUUGAGUUUGUUUUCUUAGUAGAUUAUGAAGGAUAUCCGAUCUCCCGGGUUCAUGUUCGCUCCAAGCAUCGCUAUCAUGCUCUAUUUAUGUUUUGUUUGAUGUUAUCAUUUUCGUUUUAUUUUAGGUCAUCCACAAUAGUGCAAUACCCACUGCCAACCGCUAUAGUGAUGCGCGUCACCUCAUCACCACAACCUAUCACUAUGAUCGUAGGAUGCCUAGCACCGAAACACAACUCCACAUAGGUUCGCCCGAUUAAUAGUUUAAUUACUGAAAGUUAUUUCAUUUUUAUUAAAAGAAAGUUACAAGAAAUCAAUAAAAAGAUUGAAGUUGAAAAUUCGAAAAUAAAAGAAUAAAAUAAAAAACACAAUAAAAAUAAAAAUAAUUUGCAUGUGCAUGUCACGAGAGCAAUGCAAAUAAUUUUUGCCAAAAUUAAAUUUUUAAUCGGUUUAGUAGAUUAAAAUUGAAUAACAUGAUUACAGUGAAACAAAAUUAAAUUUUCAAAUUUAAUGUGUACACACCAAUUUUACAAACAAAAAACAUCUAUAUGAGUCAUUUGACUUACGUCUUUCAUUAAAUCUUUUAAAAAAUUAAUGGACCAAUAUUGUGCUAGAUAAAGUAGCCAUUUGGGAUUAAGAAACGCAACACAUUUGUGUACAUAUUAGUUAAUUUUUAUGGAUCUUUUAGAUGCUUUUGGUCCACUUUAAUUUGGGUGAUAUUCAAGUGCGGUAUAGAUUAGUUGAUUGAAUGAUUUAAUUUAUGAUGUGUUUAUAUAAUUUAUCUUAGUGUAUAAGCUUUUGAAUCCAAUUUUCUAAUGGACGUUUGUUUUGUAUAAAUAUAACAUUCAUUGAGUUACAUGUGUUACUUGAGUUAAGUUUCUUAGUAGAUUUUGAAGGAUAUUCGAUCUCCCGAGUUCAUGUUCGCUCCAAGCAUCGCUAUCAUGCUCUAUUUUUGUUUUGUUUGACGUUAUCAUUUUCCUUUCAUCUUAGGUCAUCCACAAUAGUGCAAUACCCACCACCAACCGCUAUAGUUAUGCGCGUCACCUAAUCACCACCACCUAUCACUAUGACCGU